UUGAGAGGCUGUGUAACGUGUGGUUAGAUGAUGCUAGGGAUGAACUAGUGAUUGUCUAUGAAACUGUUAAGAAGUUGUGUAUCGAAUCUCAUGUUUCUAAGUAAUACAAAGUUAACAAGUUGGUUUAUGAACCACAUAUUCAAAUAUGACUUAGUAAAUAAAAGGCUUAAAAUGAAUCAAACAAGUAAAGAAAUUCAUAAGUAAGCAUUCGUAUCCAGUUUGGUCGAGAGGCUAGGAUCGGGUCUAACAAGUUGGUAUCAGAGCAUGCUUGAUUCUAGGAUAGUUGGGUUAUGUAGUCCACACACACGCAGCCAGCUGAUUAGGUCUCACGGUGAGGUUUGAUUGCUUUAGUCUAGGGAUUGUUUUGUCUCGUUUAUGUUAUGUAUGUUUCGUACUAACAAUGUCUGAAAUCCUUAGGCUGGAAAAAGCAAAUCGGGAAAGGUCCGAAAGAGUAAGGGAACGGCCGGUUGUGAGAACCGAAAUUCGCACUGUCGAUUUCCGUUUAAAUUAGGAAAGUAGGAGAACCCUAGUUUCCCAGAGGUCCCGGAUAUCUGCUAAUACCACACGCUAAGCAAUCAGAACACGAGAUAACAC
rnacentral:lncRNA from 1 species